ACCAAGAGAAUGCCAGAGAUUCAAACCCAGUGCCCUAAUACUUUUGAGCUACUGAAUCUGAUCCAGGACAGCUUGCCUUUGGACACUGACUAGAAACCUGUAUUUCUUAAGUGCCUAAGAUCCCUGGUGCCAAGACACUUGGGGACCUCUGAUCCACAGGACCUAACAGCACCCACAGCACAUGAUGCUGACUCCAAGGGGACUCCCUAAUAACCUUUCCUCAUGCAGAUCUCCAUGUGAGUCAACUUCCUGAAGAAUCCCACCUGUGACAGGUUGUAAGAAAAUGAACUGAACUAUUUUAAGUGAGACUUUGUGAAGCUACGUGUGCCUUGGGCAACAAGUUUCAGGCAAAAGCAUUUUUUUUUUCUAUUCUGCAAUAGUCACCCAUUAUAGAAAAAAAAUCUUGCAAUAGCUUUGAGAUAUUACACCUUUUUACGGUAGGGUUUGAUCUUGGCUCCUUUUUCCCUUAUAGAAAAUCAUGGACAAUACCUUGCCACUUUUCCAAUAUGCUCUAAAUUCUCAGUAGUUGGAGACUUUGUUUUUUCCAUCUUGGAAACCACAUAUUUUAUAAAGCCUUGUACACAGCAGAUGUAUGAUGAAUAAGUUGGUGACUGACUGUAUUAGUGAAGUAAUGAACAAAUGAAUAUAAGAGUCUAGCUCAUGAAGCAUUUUUUUUUACCCUGAAUGAAUUUUUCAAGGUAUACAAUUAUGCAAAGACACUGAAAUUAAAAUACUAAAAUAAUAACAGUCUGGAGGCUCUCCUGCACAAAAGAAAUCUUUAGCCAUUGGAAGGUAGCACAGUUUUAGAAAAGGAAUUAUAAAAAAGGAGAAUUGGCAGCAACGCCGGACUUCUGAAAGAAAGAUCAUGUAAUAUACAAGCACUUAAGCAAGCAAUUAUGCCACGUCGCAAAAGGCUGUUUUGAUGUGCUACUUGAGAGUGCUAUUUCAUGUUGACCUUUGCGUUAGAAGAUGUGGCUGCCUACAGC